AAGGGACCAAAGCAACCCGCAGCCCCAGGCCGGCCCUGCCUGCAGCGCAGGCACGCACUCAGAGCAGCCUCGGCUGGUCUCAUUCUGUCAUCCCGAAUCUGACCUCUCCCAGCAGCCAUACCUGACAAAACCACAUCUGACUGAGGUACCUGUAUGCAGAGCUCAGUUUGACACCUCAAUUCCUCUGAGAUACAGAACGCAGGGAAAGCUGUUGGAUGCCCAAGCUGGAGAAAUUUGGGCAGCAAGUCAAUUAAAGAAGGCAUUAAGGUCCCUGUCUUAGUAGAGCUCCUGCCUGUGCACCCAUGUGGACACAUCUGUUUGCCUCAGUCCUGCAGCUUUCCACAUCUGGGGCUAAAAGCUGAACCUGUUGUGAAGAUCAGAGCCGAGAUCUGGACGUCUCCUAGAGCACCCACAGGCCAGAUGGACCCAAUUCCCUGGCUGGCAUUCCAGAUGCACCCAAUUCCCUGGCUGGACUCCAGAAUCAAGGGGUGAUCCCAUCAAAACCCCUGGCAAGAGUCUCACUGCUUCUAGUAAGGUCACACUCUGCUCUUUGCUCCUGCAGAACUUUUGGGAGAUCCUUCCAUACAGGAAUUUUAUUUUUUUCUGAAUGAAAAUAAGUUGGGAGAAUACUGACUUGCUCAAAUUGAAACAAAGACAGCAGCAAUGAGAAAAAAAAAAAAAAUACAGCCUACGGAAAAACAAAAUAACAAGUUAUAAUUACUCUGUUCAGAGCAGAUAUAAUAAAAUAUUAGAUUCAAAAUAUGAACAUACAUUAUUGUUUUGGCUUUGUCUGCUGCACUAGAAUUCCUCACAUGCUGACCUCUUGCCCUCCUCCUACUCCUAUUUUUCUCUCUCACCACUCCAUGAGAAAAAAAGGGGUAGAGGAGAAAGAGAGGGAAAAGAAAAAUGGAAGAGGAAGCAUGAGAAUUAAGUAAAGACAGUGGAUGAAAGAGAAAGAAUGAAAAAAAGAGUGAAGGAGGAACAGAACAAAAGCUAACAAGUGAACAGGGGAAAGAAAAAAAAAACAAGAGGGAAAUAAAUGCGUUGCCAGUUGUUUUUUUAGGGCUUGUGAAAGUUAUGGGGCCCUACAUGAAGGAGGCAUUACAUUUUUUGAUCUGCAGCCAGAUUCUUAAUGAAAUAGGAGGGCAGGAGGGAGGCUAAUGUGAUUCAGCAUCUAAAAGCAAGCAGUUGCAUCAAUAAUCUUUAGCACUGGCACUUGUGCUAAGACAAAACAUAACAGAGCUUAGAAGACAAGUUGUCAGUGUGAUUUGGGGGCCUUUCAGUUAUUCAAUACAACUCCAUUAGGUUUUGGAAGCAUAAACAGGUAGCAGGGUUUUGUGCUGGUAAUACUCUUAAACCAGUAUGUAAUUAAAAUUGAGCUCUGUGGAGAAUAAUUCCACUCCAUAUUACUAAAGGUGACCUCUCUCUUAUCAGUCUCCUGUGAACACCAGUGUUUGCUUUAGCUUUACCCCUGUUCAGCCUAACAAACACAACCAUGAAGCAACAGCCUGAAGAGCUGAGCAGGGCACACUUGAGCUGUCUGCUCUGUGCCAAGCUCCCACCUCUCUGCUAGGGCAGCUUUAGGAGAGGAGUGCACUCACUUCCCCUGCUGCCCAACUUGUACCUCACUUCCCUGCAGAAGUUUUUUUUUAAAUUAAAAAAAUUUAUACCAAUUUUUUAAACUUUUUUUUUUUAUUUUUAAUGUGUAAAAUUCUGCAGUAAACUAGGUUAAAGGAGAGCUUUUCUUCCUCCCUUCAGCUAGAAAACACACAAAACUUAGACUGAUAUUUAGGACUAAACUUUGCAAAUCUGCCAGUGUAAGGAAUUUGGGUAGGAUGGAAUGCCCACCAAUGAAGAUGUCUCACUUCAAGUUAGUCUGUGCAUGAUUUGACCCCCCCUUAAACCCCUCACACAGAGCUCAAGCUCACUGGAGUUGCUCACAGGGCCUUGUGAGGGUCUCCUGCAGAAGAGAAGCUCACUCUGAGUGAUGUUGGACACUGAAAGAAGAGGUCAUAUUCUUCAAGAAGGUGAUCAAGAUUAUCCACCAGCCAAAUGGUUUUGCAAAAAUCUUUCACAUUAGAUAUUGAGCUUAAACACCUAUGAUUGCUGGUCACUGAGAACGAUGGGCUUUCCAACAAGAGCAUCCAAAAAAUCUCUUCUGUUCCUACAGGAGAAUCUUCUCACUGCAGAAAAUCUAUGGUAUGAAGAGAACCUGGCCCAUAAACUCUAAAAUUUGGGAGGGAAAAUUAUCCAUAGGGGAAAGGCUAUGCUCCUCAAACAGCUCAGCAGAGCCAGGGUCAUUCUUGAAAGUUGAGCAGCACAGUUAUUCAGAUGGAAGGUGCCAAAAGAAGAACAAAUGCUGGAGUCACAGCACUGUGAAUCUUGGCUUCCCUCUUAACCACACGAGUCAGGGCAGGCCCUUGGAAAUGAGCUCCUACCACUCAUCUGUGGCCAGCACUGCCCACAGGCCACCUCUCAAACACACAGCUGAACCCUGAGAGGUUUAACUUUGCUGUUAUUUUACCUCUUCUUUUCAGAUCCCAGGAUGUUUACUUGUUUAUGGUGUAAACCACCUAUAUCUAAAAGCGACUCUAUGGUUAAAACAAUAAUUAAUUUUGUUUAACUCAUGCAGAAAUGUCUGGGAAAGGGAAUGCUGAGAACCACCAGCAAAAGCUGAUUUUGCAACACUAUCUAUUUUUCCCAUUUAUCUUAAAUACAGCCUUUUGUUCACUGUUCUACAUCUAUAUUGAUAUUAACAUAAUAAGCAGAUUCUAAAUUAAAGGGGAAAAAUCAGUUGGUGAGAGAGUGGAAGGCAAUGUGAAUUAUUUUACAAGCAAGCAUGCAAACCUCUUCACUUCUAUCCCUUACAUUUAUGACUUUCUCUAUUUUUGCCAUUAAUGUAGUUUGAAUUUUCUCCUGGUCUCCUAACACAGAACUGUUGUCUGCCUUCUUCAUUAAUCUUCAUAAAUUUCAAGUACUACAAUGGCCUGGCCUCCACCCUCCAGGGCAGGGGCAAUUUAAGAGGGCAAAUGUUUUGGGGAGCCAGUCUGAAUGCCUGAUCCCUGUUCUACUGCACCGUGGUGGAGCCAGGGUGGGAGGGCAGGAGGUCUUUUAACCCUCCUUGCUGAUUUGCCUUUUCAUAUUUUGCUAUUUUUUCCAAGUGAUUUUAAGUUCCCAGGGAUGUCUUAACAAUUCUUGCUGUGCAAGGGAAAAAGGUGCAAGGAUUCAUGCACGAUACUUGGAUAACAUUUGGAUAGGGAAUGGUGUCAGCAUUGGAUAUUGUCUGCAUCUAUUUGAUGCAAUGCACCUGCACCUCAAUCCCUCUUCAAGCUCCUGGACAGGGGUGUGAGGACAACACUGCAAAACCUUUCAGAGAUUUUCAAAGUUUGCAGUCUGAGGCUUUUAUUUUAUUUUUAAAAAAAGGGGAAAAAAAGAAAAAAAAAAGAAAAAGGCACAGCUUGCAGCUUGGAACUAAUGCAGAAAAUUAUACAGCAAUUAAUAACAAUUUACAUGGCGGCACAGUAACUGCUGAUAGGUAUAAGGAGCAGAGUAAACAAGGUAUGGAAAUCAACAUAUAUCCAGCAAAGACUUCCAUAGUGCAGUGCUGAAUGUCCCUGGACAAAUAAGUAUUUUUUAUUUUUUUUUUCUGGAAAAAUAUCUGGGAAAUUCUUCCAUAAAAAAAAAUCCAUAUCAGUUGAGGUGUAUGGUCCAAGACUGAAACAGAAAAUAACCAAAUUCUGUCCCCAUGUUUAUUGAGUUGGAUUUGGAGGUCUCUUCCCUGGGCAUUGGGUAAAGUUUCCUUCUGGACCACUUUCUUCUAUUUGAGUGAUGGCACUCAAUGUAAGGAAAACAAAGAGAACUGAGUUUAAGCUUGUGGAAAGCUGACUGUCUCUGGAGGGAGCCAAAGUGGUAAUAAAAACUGUUCUAAUGAUUUGAUCAGCAAAACGAACUAAAAGCAAAGUUUGGAAUUAAUGAGAGCUCUAGAUCAAAACUGCGGAUGAUUUUCCUCUCAUUAGUGGUUUUUAUCAUCAGAUGUUAGCAUUGUUUGAAUGAAAUUCAUUCAAAGACCUCAAAUAAAAGCAGUAUUUGGUAAAAGAAACUGUGAUUUGGGUCUAUUAACAAACAGAACAUCUUGCUAAAUAAUUCCUUUAUGCACUAUUCAGUAAUGAUGUAAAGCUGGUGCCUUUCUGCUGCCUCAGUGAAACAGCCUUCAGAAAGAUCAUUAAACCGGCUUUUUGUGAGAGGAGCUAAAGAGAGCGACUGAAGCGUCUGUUAUAAGUUUAUAUUUGUAUUCAACUCAAUUAGGCCCUGGGACACAGAUGA